rnacentral:rRNA from 1 species
UACGUAGGGGGCUAGCGUUGUCCGAAUUUAUUGGGCGUAAAGAGCGUGUAGGCGGCCAGGUAGGUCUGCUGUGAAAACUCGAGGCUUAACCUCGAGACUGUCGGCGGAAACCAUCUGGCUAGAGUCCGGAAGAGGAGAAUGGAAUUCCCGGUGUAGCGGUGGAAAUGCGUAGAUAAUCUGGAGGAAUACGGUGGCGAAGGCGGCAUCCUGGACCGGCAAUUGGACGCUGAGGAGCGAAAGCCAGGGAGCGAAACGGG